ensembl:lncRNA
AAUGUACUUUUUUUUUUUUUUUAAUUUAUCUAAUAUCUCACAACAAUAAGAACAUGGAUUUGUGCCUGUAGAAAUCUUGGAUGGCUGGUGAGAGAAGCCAGCGGUGGCAGAGACGCAGACUCUGGUCUUAACACUCUUCCCGCUGUGAGCUUUGAUUGACACUUCUGUCAUCUGAAUUCUUUAGCAUGGCAAAUGUUCUCAACCUAAACCCUGUUUUGUCUGUCAUCAUAAUUUAUUUAAUCAUAUUUUACCAUACCUUUCACCCUUCCCCCAUCCCCUCUUGCCACAGAUACACACUUUUUUCUCUCUCUCUUUCUGCUCCAUAACGUAAACUAGGCUUUUUUGUGUCGCAUUUAUCAAAGGAACGGCCGGGUGAUGUGAAUUAAGACAGAUUAUUGGUCAAUAAUUCAGAAGAUGCCAUAGAUGAACUAGACCCACCAGACCACCUGAUGCUGGAGUGAAGAUCUGGGAUGUUGCCUGAAGAUGCGGUGAGGGAAACGCCGGCCGAUGUGUGUAAACGGGAAGCUGUCCAGAGCAGGAACAUCACACACACUCCAGCCCCAGGCAAAAGAAUGGGCUGAAAUAUUUUUAAACAGUAAUUACCUGGCCGGGAUCCGACAGAGGGGGAUUAAUGGAGGAACGCGGAGCAUCAGGUUCCAGAGAUGUGUGCUGGAAGGUACGAUGAGGGAGAGACGCGCUUCUCCGUCACACACGGGAAAUGAGGAAACGGCAGAUUUCUGAUGUCGAGCUGUUUCUCUGUUCUUUUCCACCAGCACAAGUCAUCAGCUCACGCCAAGCCCUUCACAAACCAACAGCAGCCAUUUAGUCUUUCAAAUCCAGUCUGGGAGAUGUUUCAGGAUUUCCUUUUUUCUUUUUCUUUUUUCUUUUUUUUCUGGUGGUGGUUAAAUUAACUAUAUUUGGUGCUAGUCAACUCUCAGUGUGGACUUUACAUUUCUUGGAGUGAUAAUCUACAUUGACUUUCAGAAAUUAGUUGCAACUGCAAAGCAGCUUUUGAGGUCUUGGUCUUUUUGACUGAAUAUUAUGGAAGCCCGUUUCUGCCACUAAAUAAAACAUUUAGGGCCCUAUCA